rnacentral:rRNA from 1 species
UACGUAGGGUGCAAACGUUUGUCCGGAAUUAUUGGGCGUAAAGAGCUCGUAGGCGGUCUGUCGCGUCUGCUGUGAAAUCCCGAGGCUCAACCUCGGGCUUGCAGUGGGUACGGGCAGGCUAGAGUGCGGGUAGGGGGAGAAUGGAACUCCUGGUGUAGCGGUGGAAUGCGCAGAUAUCAGGAAGAACACCGAUGGCGAAGGCGGCACUCUGGGCCGGUACUGACGCUGAGGAGCGAAAGCGUGGGGAGCAAACAGG